GGAACUUUCACAGCCUAAAGGGCUGAUUGGGCUCAGCUGGAGAGAAAGCUGGCUGAGGGCCUGCAGCUAGCCUGAACUGGAGCCCAGCUUUAGGAGGGAUGCUGGGGGGAUGCCUGAUCUGAGGCAAGUGCUAAUAAGAGUUUAAAAUGCAGCCAAGUUCUAGGAGAGGAAGCUGCCUUAAGGAGGGAUAAUGUAACUACCUGAAGUUUCUCUGCCUUGUUUUCUAGGCACGUUCCAAUGUCUGAAACAAAUGGAGCAGAAGCCUUAGAGAACAACAUUUUUCUCUACACAACCCUGACUCAUCCCAAGAGCCAGUCCAUCCUGUGCACUGAAUGAGUCUAGUCCCAAGUAUGCUGUCUCAACUUGUUGUGCAUCUUGUCAAAACUGGAUGGAUACAAAAUCCUGGGCAGAAAUGGAGAAGACAUUGGAGAGAAACAUGUGUUGGUUUGUAGACUCUUCUGGAAGCUAGCAUUUGAUGUCAGCACUGCUCCAUGCUGGGCUGCUCCUAGCUAAUUAUGCUGCCUCCAGUUAUCCAUCUUUGCUACAAAGAUCGUGGGACAAAGGAGAUAGAAUAGCUUAUGCUUCAUAAGAGAGCAUUAGUGUGAUGCUAAAUACAGUCUACUGAUGAAAAUCCACUUUUAAUAACAUCACUGAGUUCCCUGCUGCUUUGCAUUUUAGCAUAGAUAUUAAUAAUUGUUUAUGAAAUUCUUGAACAGAUACUAACAGCAGGAAAUGCACCUGCAUUAUUUAAAGGCUGUUAAAUAAGCAGAUUUUAUUUACCAAAAUACCACAGUACUCCUUAAGCUAUUAAACCUGUCCUUGGUUUUGGCAGGAUGGGUGCUUAUUUCUGUGUUGGGAAAUUGGCUGUAUGUUGCUGAUGUCAACAGACAAAAUGGACUUUUGAAUGAGUAACAGUGGCAUCCUUGGCUGUGAAUUUUGGCUUCUGUUUAGGACUCUGCAAUCAACCAGUGAUAUUUACAUAUUGAAUAACUGGGGGGGGGGUUGUACAAUACUGUGGCUAAUCAAUUUUAAUGGGAAAUCAGUAUGUAUUGAACUGGCUCGUGUGUGUAUCCCCUGCUGGAUGGAAUCAGAUUUGAUCAACUGUGUGUUAUGAGCCCUAUGCUGCUAGUGGUGAUUCUCCUUUAGCUUAAAUGGCAGGAGGCUAUGGUUUUGGAGCAUAAGGAUCUGAGUUCUAUUGUUGCUACACUUGGCAUUUCGUGGUAACUCAGUGUAAUUACACUAGGGAUGAAACAAUGGACCCAAUGAGUCAGCAACAUCAAGAAAAAAAUCACAAAGCAAUCACUUUGGCUCUCUGCAACACAACUGCUUGAUGUUCCCUUCAGUUCUUUUUCACUCCUUCCUGUAUGCUGAAGGAGGGAGAGAGGGUGGAUUAUCUUCUCUCCCUUUCUCCCUUAUUUUGAUUUUUAGAGGAACUGGGGUCUAAGAAGCUCCACCCCAUUUACUCAACUUUUCCUGCAGAGCCUCCAGUGAGUUUGGGUAGCAUGGGGAGUGGUCUUUGAUUGGCCAUGCAGUCAUUCUGCCUGAUAACAGGCACA